GAUGAACGCUGGCGGCGUGCCUAAUACAUGCAAGUCGAGCGAACAGAUGAGGAGCUUGCUCCUCUGACGUUAGCGGCGGACGGGUGAGUAACACGUGGAUAACCUACCUAUAAGACUGGGAUAACUUCGGGAAACCGGAGCUAAUACCGGAUAAUAUAUUGAACCGCAUGGUUCAAUAGUGAAAGACGGUUUUGCUGUCACUUAUAGAUGGAUCCGCGCCGCAUUAGCUAGUUGGUAAGGUAACGGCUUACCAAGGCAACGAUGCGUAGCCGACCUGAGAGGGUGAUCGGCCACACUGGAACUGAGACACGGUCCAGACUCCUACGGGAGGCGGCAGUAGGGAAUCUUCCGCAAUGGGCGAAAGCCUGACGGAGCAACGCCGCGUGAGUGAUGAAGGUCUUCGGAUCGUAAAACUCUGUUAUUGGGGAAGAACAAAUGUGUAAGUAACUAUGCACGUCUUGACGGUACCUAAUCAGAAAGCCACGGCUAACUACGUG
rnacentral:rRNA from 1 species